GAAGUUUUCAUAUGGUAAUAUUAGCUAUCUGCAGAUGUCUCGACAAGAUACAAUAAGUUCACAAAAUGAAAUUUUAAUCAAAACUCGUACAUUUGAUUUGACAUCACUAUCACACUGCUACUGUGGCAAAAGCCGAAGAUAGGCCGAUACAAGACUGGGCUUGUGCCAAUCUUCUGGACUCAAUAGGCAAAGGCCAUUUCUCUUGGAUCUGACAUCCCAAAAGAAAAAGCCUCUCUGUUGUGCAACCACGAGGAGCGCCAUGGGUAAUCUGGAGCUCCAGUGGGUUCAAGUUCUUUGAAGAGGAAAAAUUGUUCUUUUGUUUUUAUUCACGUUCUUGAUCUUUGCUUUGAAGUUCUUAAUCUCAAAAAACUUUUUCAAGGAGACCUUGCUUUCUUUUUAUCCUCUUUCUUGAUCUUUUUGACUGAGAUCAAAUGUGAAAUUCUAUUGAGAAUGCUCAUUUUGCUUCAAUUUCUUGAUCUCCUGAAAGUAUUGUCGAUUUUCCAGAUUGCAUAGUUCAUCAUACAUUGCUCAAUUUAGCAUCUCUUUUCUUGGAGUAGAAUUGAUAGCAAUUUGAGAAAAGGAGUCUGUUUACUAUCAAAUUUCUUCAAUUCUACAUGCGGGACCAGCGGCCACGCAAUGGGAAGGAUAUUCAAAGUUUGAAUCUAUCUUGGGUUUAACAUAAAGAACUUGAGAAUCAAAAUCGAACAAAUUUAUAUAGAGAAAUGCAUAGUAACAAUGCAAAGUUCGAUCUCUCAAUCAUGAUAUGCACCCUGAAACGAAGUACUCAAUUUAUAAGGCAAGUAUUGCUCAUACGCUUCUCUUAGCCCACUCAUUUUCAUCUCUAAGAUUCAGUAUUUUGCACGAUAAGCUUACUGCUAUCCCAGUCCCAGAGAUCAGGAUCAAACCAUGAAAUCACAGCCAACACAAUCAAAGCAUCUGCAAAUUUAAAAAGAAAUUCCAAAACAAAUUUAUUUUGAAAGAGGAUCACCUUACAUCAGCAAUAUUUACAUAUCAUGAAAACCAAAAAGAUUAAAGAUCAUGAUAAUAAUGACAAUCACCAUCAUCGCAAUCAGACAGUCUCAGUCUCUUCUGGAUCUUCAAAGUUAGGGUCCUUCACAUCGACAGCUUCCCCCUGGAGCCCGAUCUCAGCCUGGGAAUACCCAUCGCCGGCCCAAGUAAACUUGCCGCCGUGACCUCCUUUCUUAGGCGAUCCACUCAUGCCAGUGGCAGAUUUCCUAUCUUUCCUAACAUCGGACUUGGAAUUAGCAUUCGUUUUGGAGCUCUUCACUGUGUUCUUCAUUUUCCCUGAUUCUCGGCUUCUAAAUGCUCUCAAAUUGAAGAUGGUUUGAGGGUUUAUGUAGCAGAGGGGAGAGGGAAACUGCGGGCGUGGCGUUUUGUGAUUGGGUGGCCCAU
rnacentral:misc_RNA from 1 species